CAGUAGCCGCGGUAAUACGAAGGGUGCAAGCGUUACUCGGAAUUACUGGGCGUAAAGCGUGCGUAGGUGGUGGUUUAAGUCCGUUGUGAAAGCCCUGGGCUCAACCUGGGAAUUGCAGUGGAUACUGGGUCACUAGAGUGUGGUAGAGGAUAGUGGAAUUUCCGGUGUAGCAGUGAAAUGCGUAGAGAUCGGAAGGAACAUCUGUGGCGAAGGCGACUAUCUGGGCCAACACUGACACUGAGGCACGAAAGCGUGGGGAGCAAACAGGAUUAGAUACCCCAGUAGUCCCUGUCUCUUAUAA
rnacentral:rRNA from 1 species